rfam:Pseudocercospora fijiensis CIRAD86 unplaced genomic scaffold MYCFIscaffold_1, whole genome shotgun sequence.
GGCUAGUUGGUCUAGUGGUAUGAUUCUUAACCAUUAAUGAUUCUAUUUCUCCCGGCUAUACUACUUAAUAUAGUCCCCGCUAUAUGAAGGUAUAUGUCUUAAAGGAGUUAUAAGAUCGAUGGGGGUUAAGAGGUCGUAGGUUCGAGUCCUACACUAGCUA